CAGUCGCCACGGUAAUACAAAGGGUGCAAGCGUUACUCGGAAUUACUGGGCGUAAAGCGUGCGUAGGUGGUGGUUUAAGUCCGUUGUGAAAGCCCUGGGCUCAACCUGGGAAUUGCAGUGGAUACUGGGUCACUAGAGUGUGGUAGAGGAUAGUGGAAUUUCCGGUGUAGCAGUGAAAUGCGUAGAGAUCGGAAGGAACAUCUGUGGCGAAGGCGACUAUCUGGGCCAACACUGACACUGAGGCACGAAAGCGUGGGGAGCAAACAGGAUUAGAUACCCCGGUAGUCCCUGUCUCUUAUAC
rnacentral:rRNA from 1 species